rnacentral:misc_RNA from 1 species
GAUGAAGAACGUAGCGAAAUGUGAUACGUAGUGUGAAUUGCAGAAUUCAGUGAAUCAUCGAAUCUUUGAACGCACAUUGCGCCCUUUGGUAUUCCAAAGGGCAUGCCUGUUCGAGCCUCAUUUGUACCCUCAAGCUUUGCUUGGUGUUGGGCGUCUUGUCUCCAGUCCGCUGGAGACUCGCCUUAAAGUCAUUGGCAGCCGGCCUACUGGUUUCGGAGCGCAGCACAAGUCGCACUCUUUUCCAGCCAAGGUCAGUGUCCAACAAGCCUUUUUUCAACUUUUGACCUCGGAUCAGGUAGGGAUACCCGCUGAACUUAAGCAUAUCAAUAAGCGGAGGA